CUCUAUUCUCUGUAACGAGUCUUUUUUCUGCGAUACAGUCUUUUGCAAACCUAAACCUGGACGACGAUAAUAUAAAGCUGUGGCUGGACGGUGAUGAUUCUGUUGCUCCGGUUGAGAAUACAGUGUUUACUAUUAUAGAUAAGCUUCUAACAGAUCGGCAAAUCAAUUUCAAUGCUCUGAAGACCACACUAUCGAAUCUCUGGCGUCUUGGCUGAGGAUUGUUUUUCAAAGAAUUAGGGUCGAAACUCUACUGGAUUCUAUUUUUCCGCCAUGCCAAUGUGCAACGGGUAAUUGAUGGAGGUUCCUGGUCAUUUAGUAAUUACCUGUCGGUGACUCAUCUUCUUCUGCCAAGAGAAAUUCCAAUGGAAGUUCCUCUGUUUUCAGCUCUCUUUUGGUUUCAAGUGCACAAUAUGCCACUUGGUUAUAUGACAUCUUCUACGACAUAGUUGUUGGGCAAUUUUGUGGAUUAUAAUACAGCUACUAUUGGUGGAAGCUGCUGGAGCUUCCUGCGUAUUAGAGUUGCAAUUAAUGUGAGGUUGCUGCUUAAGAGGUCAAAGCAUGUGGUCAUUCAUGGUUGUUUGAGGGAGCUAGUAUGGCUGAGCAGAAAGGAUGGGGUCCUUGGCUAAGGUCGAUGGCACGACAAUUAGGGGUGGAGCAUAAUCAAUGGCUUCGAGACAGUACUGGUUUCUCCUUUGUCGGUGAAGAUGUUGUUUGUGGUGCUUUUCCUGGUACUGGUAAGUGGCUUAUAUGUGUUGAAGAUAAUUCAAUGUUGCAAAGUAUGGAUGAAGAUAUAUGUGUCUAGAUUGAUGAAUUUAAGAAACGUCAAUGUAUGGGAGAGAAAGCUUCUUCUCCUGUUUUACUGCAGCUUUGGAGGUAUCCUCUGUCUCUCUACUAAUUUACAUUCCAAUAUUGUUCAAACGGUGGGUCCUGGUUACCCGGCCUAUCAGGACCCGUGAUUUACUUAAGUUGAAACUGUUGAGGUUUUGGCAACCCUCGGACAAUUUAAGGUGGAACUAUUGAAGUCUUGGCAACCCUCGGGCAAUUCAAGCUCUUUAAGAGCUAGUUAUUUUAUAUAAACUAGAUAUUAUCUUUUUAUGUGAAAUAUUGGUGCAUUCGAAUAUAAUUGGAUAUAUAUGGGUUCGUUUGGUUUUUAAAGAAUGUUUUUGUGUGGAUAGAUUAGGAAGGGAAGGUGGUUUAGGUAUGUUAUAGAGAUGUGCUUUUUGCGUCUCUAUUACUACUUUUUCUAAUAACUACAUUGAUAUGACUGUUAUGAGUUCUUCUUUUGGACUUUGGAGACUUAUGGGUUUUUAUGGGAUGCCGGAGAGAGGUAGAAAACAUGAAUCUUGAGCUAUAUUAAAAUCUCUUGUAGGGUUUUUGAUUUGCCAUGGGCUUGUAUGGGUGAUUUUAAUGAUCUUUUAUUUAUUGAAGAUAAAAAGAGUAGUAACCCUCACCGGGAGUCUUUGCUCGUUAGGUUUCGAGAUGCUAGUUGAUUUGCUAUUUUAUUAGUAUCCUUUAAUAUAUGUAAGAGGAAGGGCAUCAGAUCAAUGUAUUCGGGAACGAUUGGAUAGAGCUCUUAUCUCACAUUCAUGGUUGGAGCUAUUUCUAAACUAUAAGUUAUCUAACCUUUAAGCUUUUGUCUCAUAUUAUUCUCUUAUUUUAUUAUCUUGUAAUACACAUGGAUAGGUGAGACAAAGGAAAUUUAGAUUUAAAAAUUUUUUGCUAUCUAAGUUAGAUAUCUAUGACAUUAUACUUUGGGAGAAUUUUAUGGGUAAGAGCAUUAGUGAGAGAAUUUGUAACAUCUCAAAAAUAAAAUAAUAAUAAUAAUAAUAAUAAUAAAAGAAAAAGAAAAAUAGAAAAAAAUAAAAAGAGGAAAAAGAAAAAAAAAUAAAGAAAAAAUCGAUUAAAAUUUAAUUUAAAGACAAGUGGCUUAAUGCUAACCACUUAACUAAAUUAAUUUUAUAAAUUAAAAAAAAAAAAGAAAGAAAGAAAAGAAAAGAG